AUCUACAUGGCUGCUAUGCUACUUUUUUUGUGUGAUGAAUCAUUGUGAGUUUCGAAGAAACUUCCAAUGUUACCUCCGCCAAGUUUGCCGGCAGAAGAAGCACAUCCAUUGAGCCGUUCAAUGUCGCCUGCGGUGGCUACACCAGAGGGUAACCAUGGUAGCAUCUUGAGCCCAAGAACAGUGUUACUGCCAUUUAACGCCGCGAUGUUUUAGCUCCAGGAAUUUGGACCCUCCUGCGAUAAGAAUCAGUUGAAAAGGAAAAUUCAUGCAACAAGGAUUUGACCCUAAACUCUUUUGAUUAUACAAACUACAAAGUGAUCUAAUUUCCAUUUUCUCCCUAUGCAGUCAAUCAAAAGUCUUAUUGGCACUUCUUGCUGCUACUACAUUCAUGAUGACCACUGUGUCAAGCCUUCCAAGUAUCUGCUCUCCUGAUGUUUACACAAGGGAGACGCUACUAAGGAAGCAGAACAUGGAGAAGUUUUCUUGAUGUUUACACAAGGGAGAUGAUACUAAAGAAGCAGAUCGCGAAGAAGUUUCAAUGAAUUAGAGAGUUAUAGAUGCCAGCUGGUCCUCUACAUAUCUGUUACCUGAUAAAAAUAAG